UACGGGGGGGAGCAAGCGUUGUUCGGAUUUACUGGGCGUAAAGGGCGCGUAGGCGGCCAGCACAAGUCAGUUGUGAAAUCUCCGAGCUUAACUCGGAAAGGUCAACUGAUACUGUGCGGCUAGAGUGCGGAAGGGGCAACUGGAAUUCUUGGUGUAGCGGUGAAAUGCGUAGAUAUCAAGAGGAACACCUGCGGCGAAGGCGGGUUGCUGGGCCGACACUGACGCUGAGGCGCGAAAGCCCAGGGGGAGCGAACGGGG
rnacentral:rRNA from 1 species